GUGCCGGCCGACGGCAGGCUGCGCUCCGACCG
rnacentral:rRNA from 1 species